AUAGUGAGUGGAGGAUUUCUAUUUCCUCCACUCACAUUUAAUCACAUUAUUUCAUUCUCUUCCUUACAAGAAAACCCUAGCCUCCAUGGAUGGAGCUUGGAGCCUUAGGCAUUGACCUUGAUCUUUGAGGCCUUCCACUUACUUUAGACCAUAAAGUUUAGAAUACUUUUUGUUCUCCUCAUCCUCCUCUUCAAAACCCUUGAAGGAUCUAGCCUAACUCCUAGUUUUGCUUUGGUAUCUAGAGAUUCAAUUCUCUAGUGAGGUAUUGAUCUAUUAUUUUGAAGUAUUUUUAUGUCAUUAUUGAGUGUUUUACAUGCAUGGAAGAGAAGGACUUGUAUUUUACCCUUAAAUUGUUUUAACUUGAAAUUAAUCUUGUCAAAUUAAAUAUAGAAUAUGAAAAUAUACUCAAUUACCUUUCAUUUAGUUUUGGUUUCAUAUAAUUUGGAUUUAAAAUGAAUUAGUUAUGAAUUUUUGAAGUUGCAAGCUAGUUGUUGGAAAUUUGAAGCUUUUUCUUUUCGGUCUGGAAAUGAAUUUUUAUAUGAAGCUGUGGUACUUCAAUUGCCUUGAAAUUUUUACUGGAACUUCCCCCAUGGGUUUUACACUACUCAGAAUUUUUUCACAAUUUUAAGGCAUUUCUAAAUUUUUUUAAAAAAUUUGAAACUAUCUGCUGUCCAUGUUUUUAUUGCAGCUGGAAAACAUAUUUUUAGAUGAUUUAUUUCACUAAUUUUUUGACAUUGGAUCAGGGCUUAAAUUUUUAAUUUUACACUCUCAUACGUUUACUUCCAAAAUAAAUUAGGUUUGCCCAAUUUGGAUGUCAAAUGAAUUUUUCAUGAAUUUUCAAAGUUGGAAGUUACAGGCUGAAAAUGUGUUUUCUGGGCAGAAUUUGUUUCAAAAUUAUGGGUCAAAACUGUUUCAAUUAGGAAAAUAUUUUGUUAAAAUAAAUUGAUAUUAUCAAAUUAAAGUGUUUAAGCUUUCAUUGGGCUUUGGAUUCAUUUAAUUUGGGUUAGAAUUAAAUUUUUUAUGAAUUUUACAAGUUGAAGGUAGCAAGCUGAAAAAUCUGUUUUGCGGACCGAAAAUUUAGGGCGAUUUCAUUUCGGCGGUAAUUGGGAUUUUCAUUCCAAUUGAGGUAGGGAAUGUUUUAGGAUUAUUUGUGUGUUGUAUUGUGUGUUUGCCAUGAUUAUACAACAUAUAGGUAUGCCUUGUAUCAAAUUUAGAAAGUUAGUAAUUUUUAUUUCUUUGUAUAAGAUUUAAAAUUUAGGAUGAUGUAUAACUUUGAUUUGAAUUGUAAUAUACUAGAAAAUUAUGCUUAGAUAUGUUGGUUAACAUAUAUUAAAUUUGGAUCAUUUGAUUAAGAAUUACAAUUUUUAUUUAAUAUUUAUCUUUUGUAAAAGUUUAAUUCACAUGGUUGUAUCAAGCAUUAAAUCAAGUUGUAAUCUGGUAUUUAAAUAGGCCUUGGCAUGUUCUCUAACAUAGAUUAAAUUGAGGGCAUUUGGAAUUGUUUAAAAAUCUAGAGGAAAUUAAUUAAUUAGCUUGAUUAAUUUUGUUUUAAGUGUUUUAAUCACUUAACUUGUCAUUUGAUAUUAUAUAUAUGAUGACCAUGAUAUGUCUUUCAAUAUAUAUUAAAUUGAGGUUAUUCGGAUUAACUUGGAAUUUAGAGAAUUUAACUAUUUAUGUUUAAUUAAAUUCUACUUUAUUACUCCAUAGAUUUAAUUGCAUUUUGGAAAUUGUUUCUAUAUUUAAAUCAUGGAUUUGGAUAUGAUGUAUGUUCACUUGAUUACUUUUGAGCAUUGGAUAAAAUAGUUGUUACUUUUAUAUUCAUGAGAAUAUAUUUUUCCUUAUUAAAUAUAUUGUUGCUAUGUGUAAGGAAUUGCACACUUUGUAUUUGAUAUCUUACAUGCCAUAGUAGUUGUGAAUUUUGAGCAUGCAUUGUAUAAGUUUCCAAAAUUUGGAUUGUGCUUGGUAAAUAGUUGAUAUCUUGUAUAUACAUGUUGAUAUAUAUACGUUGUUGCACAAUUUGUUGAUUUUGAAAACUUGGGGAUAUCGUUGUUUGGUUACGGCUAGGACUUGGUUCUAGUACGGGGGAUUGUCCCUCUAUAUAGUCUAGUGCGCACAUAGGGAGGUUACCCAUGGGUUAGUAACCCUAAAGUAACUAUGUUGUCGGUCUGAUCUGGCGUGACGUCCGAGUAUCUACUUUGUUUGAUUUUGUAUUUCAUUUCAAGUUGAUAACUAGAUGAUAUCGUAACUUGUUCCGUAUUUGAUUUCUUAUUUUGAGCUUAAGAUAUAGCUUUAUGAAAGCAUGCUUCAUGCGUUGUAUUGGAAGUUCCAUUGUUGGUUAAAUUGCAUCGAUAUCAUAAUUUGUGUUUUGAUGUUCAAAUGUAGUUUAUGAAUGACCUUAUAGAUUCAUUUUGAACAUAGACGUUAGGUGGCAUGACCCACACUUGUUGUUUUCGUAUUUUGAAUUUCAAGUUGAAGACUUUGAGAAUCUAUAUCUUGUUACCUUGUAUAACAUGUUUCCAUAUUGUUUGAAUUGCAUGAACAAUGUGAUUAUGAUAUAAAUGAUUUAGGUAGCUUAGGAUGCUCCCUGGGUCUCAUCUUGACAUAGACGUUAGGUGGCAUGAGCCCCUUUAACAUGUUUCACUAUAAGGUGAUAAAAUUGUAAAAUGCUAGGUCGAUGCAUGCUCAUCUCAUACGAGUAGCUUUAUAUUACUCACCCCUAUGAUACUGAGGCAUAUUUCAGGUACAGGACUCAGGAUUUGAAGAUUCCAUUGCUCCUUGGGUGGCUUACAGUUUCUAAGUUUCUAUUUUAUGCAAGUGGUAGCAUAAGAUGCCUCUUUGUAACCCUAUUUGUUUAAACUUGUAUUCGUUGAUUCGGAUAUGUAAAGUGUACAUAAGUGCACUCUUUUCAAUGUAUUUAACAUGUAUGAGAUGAGGCCGGAGGCCAAUGACAUGUAUCUCGUUUUCUAUGCACUUUUGUUUUCAAAGUUUAUUAUGAAAAUAUUAGAAAAUGUUAAGUCAUUACUUCAUAAGUUUCGCAUCGGGUGUUAGAAUUUCAUAUCUUUUCUGCCCGGACUCAGAAUUAGACGAUUCUUAAGUCUAAUUUUAUUCAUUUUUCGUUGUCCUUCCAAUGGUGUGCACGGUGGCACCCUUUUCAGUGAGAAAUGACCAUUUUGCCCUUAGUUCAUCUCUUUUCGGGUUAGGCAUUCUUGCUUCAUUUGCUUGGCUCAUUUGAAUUCCGUGGCUUCAUGGAGAGUCAUUUUGGGGCCUUAGGGAUAACGUACUUCUCUUGAGGUCAUUUGGCUUCUUUCGCUUCCGCAUUUCGGGUCCGUUAUUGGGUCAACUUCCGGUUCAUCACUAACGCACCAGGUUGAGAAAUUCGGGUCGUUACAGUGAUUUAUUCAGUUAUAUUACCAGUCUUUAUUUAUUGACUUCCUUCAGGUUUAUUAGCCUCUAAUUAUUGAAUUUUUUAUUCAAUGGAAUUAUGUAAAUAUGAAAUGAUGACUCAGAAUAUAUUCUGCAUAUGCUUGUUUAUUUUGUUUUAAUUUCACUUGAUUCUUCAUAUCAGCUUGUAAACUAAAUUAUGGACACUUCCGAGGAACCAAUGUGUUGAGUUUUAAGGUCCCGUAGGGCUGAAACUGAGCGACCGUCUACAAGUUCACCUCCUAUACAACUGAGUGGAUCAGGUGAUGAUAGGAAUUCAACAAAUGAAAGAAUGGAAAGUGAUGGUAGUAAUGAGCAGAUGGGGCCACAGCCAAGUGGAGGUUUAAUAUGAAAAGGGCGUGGAAGAGCAAAAAAUGAAGCCUUGCACAAAAUUAAAGAAAACAACUGUCCAGUUCCAGUAGAGUUUGGAAAGGGUUAUAUUAAACCUGUUGGUUUAAAUAACAAAUUAUGGACAGCUAAGGUUGGCAUUAAUACACGAGAUACCGAAGCCCUUUUAAAGUAUAAAACGUGGAGGGAUGUUCCAGAUUUUGAAAAAAAGGUCUGCUAUGACCAUUUGAAGGAGUUCUUCGGAGUUGAUGCAUAUGCGAAUGACACCGAUUUUAAGCGAGUAAAUAAGGGAAUUUCCAAUGCGUUGAGGAAAUAUAGAUAUAAAUUAAAGUGUCAUUUUGAAGAGCAUUUUCCGAUUGAGAAUGCACGCUGCCAUCCUUACAAUAGUAUUGGUCAUGCUGUUUGGCAAAAAUUGUGUGAUAUGUAGAUGUCACCAAAAUUUCAGGAAAUAAGUGGAAAAAACAAAGAAAAUCGUUCCAAGAAUGAGGUUCCACAUUAUUCUGGAUCAAUGUCCUUCGUCAUACGUUAUGAUGCUAAUGUCAAACUCAAAGAAAGGCAGAGCCAAAAAGAUGAGGAUGGUGAAAGGGAUGAGGAUCCUGUUAUUCGUUUGUACAAGGACACACAUUUUAAGCAACAAGGUGGAUGGGCACGCGAGAAAGCCGAGGGGAAUUUUAAAGGGUGAGUUUGUAAACCCACCUAUCUGUAAAGGAAGACCUAUUUGUAGAAGAAGCUGCGCUGCCCUUUUUGUUAUGAUGCAAUGAAAGAAAAGGCUGCACAAAAUUCUCAAAAUUUUGAUGGUACGAGUCCAACCAUAAAUGAUGUUGAGAUAGUGUAAAACCAACUAGGCAUAAGGAAGGGAUAUUGCCGUGGAUUCGGACAUGAUUUCGUGGCUCCAAUGCGUCAAUGUGCCUCCUCAUCAUGUGAUGAGGCUUCUAGGAAAAGGGACGAAAUUGCUGAAGAAAGAAAUGUACAAAUGACAGAAAAGAUAGAUAAACUUGAGAAGAUGCUCGAGCAGUACCAACAACAGCCGCCACUAUGAUUCCUCCAAUAUCAGCAGCAGCGGCCACCAUGGUUCCUUCAAUUUCAGUAGCAGCAGCAGUUGCCACCGUAGUUCCACCAACAAUAGUCUCCAUCAGAUUCCCAACAACAGUAAACCGCACCAAACUGGCAUCAACAGCCACCGCCACCUCUAGCAGACUCUCAGUUUCAGCAGCCGCCACCAACAACAAGGUGGCAAUAUCAGCAGCCGCCACUAACAUGGUGGCACCAACAAGCACCACCAUAACCACCAACAUAAUGAAUAAUGGAUCUUGAAGUGGAUGGAACAUUUUUUUGUGCUACCACAUGGUUUUAGUUUUUGUUUAGAAAAUUGGAGAUUUUAUGGAUCUUGAAUAUAUAUAUCAUGGAUUUAUUUUGUUUUA